CCGGUACCCACGUUCGGAUUGUAGGCUGCAACUCGCCUACAUGAAGCUGGAGUUGCUAGUAAUCGCGAAUCAGCAUGUCGCGGUGAANACGUUCCCGGGCCUUGUACACACCGCCCGUCACACCAUGAGAGUUGGCAAUACCCAACGUACGUGAUCUAACCCGCAAGGGAGGAAGCGUCCUAAGGUAGGGUCAGCGAUUGGGGUGAAGUCGUAACAAGGUAAC
rnacentral:rRNA from 1 species